UACGGAGGGGGCUAGCGUUGUUCGGAAUUACUGGGCGUAAAGCGCGCGUAGGCGGUUCAGUAAGUCUGCUGUGAAAGUCCAGGGCUCAACCCUGGGAUGCCGGUGGAUACUGCUGGGCUAGAGUACGGAAGAGGCGAGUGGAAUUCCCGGUGUAGCGGUGAAAUGCGCAGAUAUCCGGAGGAACACCAGCGGCGAAGGCGGCUUUCUGGUCCGAUACUGACGCUGAGGUGCGAAAGCGUGGGGAGCGAACAGG
rnacentral:rRNA from 1 species